rnacentral:tRNA from 1 species
GGAGCUGUGCCUGAACGUCUAAGGGACACUUUGAUAGAGUGACCUAAGAGGGUUAAACUCCCCCCGGCUCCU